rnacentral:rRNA from 1 species
ACUCAAAUGAAUUGACGGGGGCCCGCACAAGCGGUGGAGUAUGUGGUUUAAUUCGAAGCAACGCGCAGAACCUUACCUGGCCUUAACAUCCCAAGACGCUAGCAGAGAUGUUAGUUUCCUUUCGGGGACUUGGAGAUAGGUGCUGCAUGGCUGUCGUCAGCUCGUGUCGUAAGAUGUUGGGUUAAGUCCCGCAACGAGCGCAACCCUUUUCCUUAGUUGCCACCAUUAAGUUGGGCACUCUAAGGAUACUGCCGGUGUUAAACCGGAGGAAGGCGGGGAUGACGUCAAGUCCUCAUGGCCCUUACGGCCAGGGCUACACACGUACUACAAUGGCAGAAACAGACUGUUGCGAAACCGCGAGGUGGAGCUAAUCAGUAAAACACUGUCUCAGUUCGGAUUGAAGUCUGCAACUCGACUUCAUGAAGCUGGAAUCGCUAGUAAUCGCAGAUCAGCACGCUGCGGUGAAUACGUUCCCGGGCCUUGUACACACCGCCCGU